GCGAGGAGCCGGAGAAGAAAAGAAGGAGAAUAGAGGAGCUGCUGGCUGAGAAAAUGGCUGUUGAUGGUGGGUGUGGGGACACUGGAGACUGGGAAGGUCGCUGGAACCAUGUAAAGAAGUUCCUCGAGCGAUCUGGACCCUUCACACACCCUGAUUUCGAACCGAGCACUGAAUCUCUCCAGUUCUUGUUAGAUACAUGUAAAGUUCUAGUCAUUGGAGCUGGCGGCUUAGGAUGUGAGCUCCUGAAAAAUCUGGCCUUGUCUGGUUUUAGACAGAUUCAUGUUAUAGAUAUGGACACUAUAGAUGUUUCCAAUCUAAAUAGGCAGUUUUUAUUUAGGCCUAAAGAUAUUGGAAGACCUAAGGCUGAAGUUGCUGCAGAAUUUCUAAAUGACAGAGUUCCUAAUUGCAAUGUAGUUCCACAUUUCAACAAGAUUCAAGAUUUUAACGACACUUUCUAUCGACAAUUUCAUAUUAUUGUAUGUGGACUGGACUCUAUCAUCGCCAGAAGAUGGAUAAAUGGCAUGCUGAUAUCUCUUCUAAAUUAUGAAGAUGGUGUCUUAGAUCCAAGCUCCAUUGUCCCUUUGAUAGAUGGGGGGACAGAAGGUUUUAAAGGAAAUGCCCGGGUGAUUCUGCCUGGAAUGACUGCUUGUAUCGAAUGCACGCUGGAACUUUAUCCACCACAGGUUAAUUUUCCCAUGUGCACCAUUGCAUCUAUGCCCAGGCUACCAGAACACUGUAUUGAGUAUGUAAGGAUGUUGCAGUGGCCUAAGGAGCAGCCUUUUGGAGAAGGGGUUCCAUUAGAUGGAGAUGAUCCUGAACAUAUACAAUGGAUUUUCCAAAAAUCCCUAGAGAGAGCAUCACAAUAUAAUAUUAGGGGUGUUACGUAUAGGCUCACUCAAGGGGUAGUAAAAAGAAUCAUUCCUGCAGUAGCUUCCACAAAUGCAGUCAUUGCAGCUGUGUGUGCCACUGAGGUUUUUAAAAUAGCCACAAGUGCAUACAUUCCCUUGAAUAAUUACUUGGUGUUUAAUGAUGUAGAUGGGCUGUAUACAUACACAUUUGAAGC
rnacentral:lncRNA from 1 species